rnacentral:rRNA from 1 species
GAAGAACCUUACCUACCCUUGACAUCCAGAGAAUCUGUUAGAGAUAGUAGAGUGCCUUCGGGAGCUCUGAGACAGGUGCUGCAUGGCUGUCGUCAGCUCGUGUUGUGAGAUGUUGGGUUAAGUCCCGUAACGAGCGCAACCCUUAUCCUUAGUUGCCAGCGGGUUAAGCCGGGAACUCUAGGGAGACUGCCGGUGAUAAACCGGAGGAAGGUGGGGACGACGUCAAGUCAUCAUGGCCCUUAUGGGUAGGGCUACACACGUGCUACAAUGGUCGGUACAGAGGGUUGCCAACCUGCGAGAGUAAGCAAAUCCCAGAAAGCCGAUCCUAGUCCGGAUUGGAGUCUGCAACUCGACUCCAUGAGGUCGGAAUCGGUAGGG